AGAACGAAGUCGACACGAGAUCCAACGCUGGCUUCCUACUAUUAAACCACGUGGCGCCAGCUAUGGCGUCCUUAAACUACCUUUUAGCAUUCGUUCUCGCUGUCGCCGCACUGCCCAAAUUGAGAGCCUGGGUUACAGACGAGUGGUAUUGCAAACGCUUGGCUCCGCUAUCAAUAACGUCGGUUGUGACACCGUGUACUUUUCCAUGUCUGCUAAUAUCACCCUACGACGCGCACGCCCGGAUUAUUGUGCGAAAAGAAGCUGACGGUACACCAUGUA
rnacentral:lncRNA from 1 species